UAGAGUUUGAUCCUGGCUCAGAUUGAACGCUGGCGGCAUGCCUAACACAUGCAAGUCGAACGGCAGCACAGCCGUAGCAAUACGAUGGGUGGCGAGUGGCGGACGGGUGAGGAAUACAUCGGGACCUGCCCAGACGUGGGGGAUAACGUAGGGAAACUUACACUAAUACCGCAUACGUCCUACGGGAGAAAGCGGGGGAUCUGAAAGGACCUCGCGCGGUUGGAUGGACCGAUGUUCGAUUAGCUAGUUGGUGAGGUAAUGGCUCACCAAGGCGACGAUCGAUAGCUGGUCUGAGAGGAUGAUCAGCCACACUGGGACUGAGACACGGCCCAGACUCCUACGGGAGGCAGCAGUGGGGAAUAUUGGACAAUGGGCGAAAGCCUGAUCCAGCAAUGCCGCGUGUGUGAAGAAGGCCUUCGGGUUGUAAAGCACUUUUAUCAGGAGCGAAAUGCUAUCGGCUAAUACCCGGUAGAGCUGACGGUACCUGAGGAAUAAGCACCGGCUAACUUCGUGCCAGCAGCCGCGGUAAUACGAAGGGUGCAAGCGUUAAUCGGAAUUACUGGGCGUAAAGCGUGCGUAGGCGGUUUUUUAAGUCUGCUGUGAAAUCCCCGGGCUCAACCUGGGAAUGGCAGUGGAUACUGGAAAGCUAGAGUGUGAUAGAGGAUGGUGGAAUUCCCGGUGUAGCGGUGAAAUGCGUAGAGAUCGGGAGGAACAUCAGUGGCGAAGGCGGCCAUCUGGAUCAACACUGACGCUGA
rnacentral:rRNA from 1 species